GUGCGAGACCGAUAGCGAACAAGUACCGUGAGGGAAAGAUGAAAAGAACUUUGAAAAGAGAGUUAAAGAGUACCUGAAACUGCUGAAAGGGAAGCGAAUCGUAUCCAGUGUCUAUAAUCUGCGGCAUAUUUCAUUGGCGGCGGUGCGCGUGCUGUUGCGUCGGAAGCGGCUUUUGUUGCUCUGUGCUUUUGCUGUGCGUGGUGUUGCUGGUGCCCUGUGUUGCGGUGGGACGUCAGAGUCAGUUUGUAUGCUGCGGGAAAUGGCUGCCGAGGAGGUAGGUCGAGAUUUCGGUCUUGGCUGUUAUAUCUUGGUGGUUUGUUGUCGUGGUUGAGACUGAGGUGCCUACAAUGUGCUUUUGAGUGUACCGGGUUCUCAUUUGGUGGACUGUUUGGAUAGCUUGCUAUGCUUGUGGUUUUUUCAUCGGGUGAUUGAGUCUGGUGGUAACUUGUUGCUGUUCGGGACUUUGA
rnacentral:rRNA from 2 species